GUCUGUGCGAGCUGCAACGGUGCUAUUACGAUGUGUAGCUUGAUCGUGUGUUUUUAUGUUUGCUGUAAUGAAACGGGACGUAGUUAGCGUGCACAAAAGUGCCAGAAGAUACCUUGUGUCUCGCUGCAAACUCGCCGUGUGCGUGGCGCGCCAGGCAAAUGUGGACCAACGAUUUUCAUGCCGUGGCCUUUGUCUGCUUGUCGUGGAAAGUUUGGUGGACGUCGAAAAGAAAUAAUGCGUGUUGUUAGCGUGCCUCAGCUCGUCCACUACGCAGCGACAUCUAUGAUGGGAGUAAUGUCGUCGACGCAGCACCGGCAACUUGGAGAGCAUCGUACCAUUGAAAAGUGGUGAGACCGUGACCCUAUAGCAGUGUCCACAUAAUGGCAGGGAAAUGCAGGGAUCCCGCAGCCAUGGCUACAGCAGCACGGCGUGUAAUCUGGAUGUCAUGUCAGGGUACACAUGCACUCACUUCAAGACGACGACCCUCCACCUCAAAAACAGUCUCUCCUCAAAGACUAGCAGGGAGUUUAAAUGAAAGGAAAAUAUCACAUCAAUAACCAGACAGAUACUAUGUGUUCCUUACAUUUAACCUCCUUCUGUCUUUAAG